AAGUGCCGCUUUUAUCUGUUGAAGCAUUGCAUCAUCUACAUAUCUUUAUCUUUGUCCUAGCGAUCGUCCAUGUGACCUUUUGUGUUCUCACUGUUCUGUUUGGAGGGGCUCAGAUACGUCAAUGGAAGCACUGGGAGGAUUCCAUUGCUAAAGAGAACUAUGAUUCAGGACAAGUUCUUAAGUCAAGGAAGGUCACCAACGUCCAUCAGCAUGCUUUUAUCAGGGAUCAUUUUCUGGGUA